rnacentral:tRNA from 1 species
CAGAGGGUAGUUAAAUGAGAAUAUCCGCUUUGGGGGUGGAUGGUGGGAGUUCAAAUCUCUCCCCUUUGA